ACGGCUCAGUAACACGUGGACAACCUACCCUCAGCACGGGGAUAAACCCGGGAAACUGGGUAUAAUACCCGAUAGUUCUGGGAAGCUGGAAUGCUCCCAUGACGAAAGCUCCGGCGACUGAGGAUGGGUCUGCGGCCUAUCAGGUAGUAGUGGGUGUAAUGUACCUACUAGCCUACGACGGGUACGGGUCGUGAGAGCGAGAGCCCGGAGAUGGAUUCUGAGACACGAAUCCAGGCCCUACGGGGUGCAGCAGGCGCGAAAACUUUACAAUGCUGGCAACAGCGAUAAGGGGACCUCGAGUGCCAGGAUACAAUCUUGGCUGUCGCGAUGCCUAAAAAGCAUUGCAUAGCAAGGGCCGGGCAAGACCGGUGCCAGCCGCCGCGGUAACACCGGCGGCUCGAGUGGUAACCGCUAUUAUUGGGUCUAAAGGGUCUGUAGCCGGCCGGAUAAGUCUCUUGAGAAAUCCAGCAGCUCAACUGUUGGGCUUUCAGGAGAUACUGUUCGGCUCGAGACCGGGAGAGGUGAGAGGUACUUCAGGGGUAGGUGUGAAAUCUUGUAAUCCUUGAAGGACCACCAGUGGCGAAGGCGUCUCACCAGAACGGAUCUGACGGCAAGGGACGAAAGCUAGGGGCACGAACCGGAUUAGAUACCCGGGUAGUCCUAGCCGUAAACGAUACUCGCUAGGUGUCAGCCACGGUGCGACCGUGGUUGGUGCCGUAGGGAAGCCGUGAAGCGAGCCACCUGGGAAGUACGGCCGCAAGGCUGAAACUUAAAGGAAUUGGCGGGGGAGCAC
rnacentral:rRNA from 1 species